rnacentral:lncRNA from 1 species
CCUUUUUUGCUGUUUGUGUGUGUAUGUGUGUGUGUGUCUGUGUGUGUGUGUGAGAGAGAGAGAGAGAGAGAGCAAUCAUUUUGAAAUCACUUCACUCUCACACACACAACGUGCAGUCGCGCGGUGAGCGCUGGAGCGAACGAUCCCGAGGCAACCCAUAGUUGUGUAGCUGUACAGAGGGUGACUGACAGAGGACCAAAACGCUGGCAACUAAUGGACAUAUAGUAUAUUGUUUUGUUUUUUUACUCUGGAACCCUCUGCUACGGGAACAUAUUGAGGAUUAGCUUAGCAGCUGGUGAGAAUGUUCCAAACUAAGCACGGGAUGCUGCCAUAAAACUGGUCCGGAGACGUACUAUAUAUGGUUGUUUCCGUAUCCGAGGAGGGGACAACAAUCUGAUGUGCAGCGCUUCUGGUCACCAAGUUGUUUUCUGCCGGCAAUUAACGCACUCGAUUUGAUAUCAGGGGGACCGUCAUUGGAUUUGAAGGAAUAGGCUAACCGUCGUCGGCUGAUCAAGUGGAUUGUUUGUUGUUGGGGGUUUUUAUCACGGGGAGAGCGUUGUUCAUGUAUUGUGGAUUCCUACUUGUGGGGAGAUAUUGAGGGCUGAAGUGGCUUCGUUCAGGAGAGGCGAGGGAUCGAAGCUUCUAGCCCGGCUGAAGCACUCAGAACUGGGAUAGGCUACUGAGGAGUUCUCAUCCAUCCAAGACCGGUGCUGUGCCUGUCAAGUGGAGGGAUGGCGCUGAGGUGGGAUUCCACGCUGGUGUUGGCCGCCAUGCUUCUGGUUUGCUGUGGCGCCGAUCCCACUGACAUUCUCUACCGGAUGCUCGAGGAGCAGCCGCCCAACACGUUGAUCGGCAGCCUGGCAUCGGACGAGGGCCUGCCCGACUCAGGCCACCUGUACAAGCUGGAGGUGGGCGCCCCUUACCUGCGCGUGGAUGGCAAGACGGGAGACAUUUACACCACAGAGGUCCCCAUCGACCGUGAGACACUGCGGGACUGCCGCAACCUGCUCGAGGGCGACAAGUGCUUCCUGGAGUUCGAGGUGUCCAUCACGGACCUGAAGCAGGGCCAGGGACCGCGGCUGAUUGAGGGCCGCAUCGAGGUGCAGGACGUCAAUGACAACACACCCCAGUUCACCUCGCCCAUCCUCAUGCUGUCCAUCCCAGAGAACACACACAUCGGGGCACUCUUCUCCAUCCCCAUGGCCAGCGACAAGGACUCGGGCCACAACGGCGUAGCCGAGUACUCGCUUAGCGCCGGGCCUGACGCCGACCAGCUCUUCAACCUGCAGGUGGCCGAGGACACAGACGAGAAGCAGCCGCAGCUCAUCGUCAUGGGCAACCUGGACCGUGAGCAGAAAGACUCGUACGAUCUCAACAUCCGUGUGGUGGAUGGGGGCACACCGCCGCGAGCCAGCAGCGCCCUGCUGAGGGUGACCGUCACCGACCAGAACGACAACGCACCCAAGUUUGAGAGGAGCCACUAUGAGGCUGAGCUGGCUGAGAACAGCCCUGUGGGACACUCAGUCUUGCAGGUGAAAGCCAACGACGCUGACAUGGGUACCAACGGGGAGAUCGACUAUAGCCUGCACCAGGCCUCCGAUGCCGUCCAGAGGUUGCUACGCAUUGACCGCUCCACAGGGAUCAUCUACGUCAAGGGGCUGGUGGACCGCGAGGAGGAGAGCUUCCUCAAGUUCUUCGUGGUGGCCAAGGACCGCGGCCCCAACUCCAAGAACUCCAAAGUCCUGGUGACCAUCAACGUCAAGGACCAGAACGAUAAUGCACCCGCCAUCGAGAUCCGUGGCAUCGGCCUGGUCACCCACCACGACGGCGUGGCCAACAUCUCAGAGGACAUGCCCAUCGGCACGCCUGUGGCCCUGGUGCAGGUGUCGGAUCGUGAUGAAGGGGAAAAUGCUGUGGUCACCUGUGUGGUGGCCGGGGACGUCCCCUUCCAGCUGCGGCCCGCCAGCGAGUCAGCCAACGACCGCAAGAGGAAAUACUUCCUGCAGACCACGACCCUGCUAGACUACGAGCGCAUCAAGGACUACAGGAUUGAAAUAGUAGCGGUGGACUCCGGUAACCCUGCACUGUCCAGCACAAACUCCCUGAAGGUGCAAGUCACCGACAUGAAUGACAAUGCCCCUGUAUUCUCCCCCACCCUGUUUGAGGUGGACUUUGCAGAGGAGAAUCAGCCAGGUGAUAAGGUCCUGGAUGUGGUGGCCACGGACGCGGACAGUGGGUCCAACGCAGAGCUGACCUACAGCAUCAUCAUGGACUCGACCACUAAGGGGCUCUUUGAGAUCGACCCCAAAACGGGAGAGGUGCACGUGAGGAAUACGCUGGACCGUGAGCACAGAGAGCAGUACGAGUUCCACGUGGCAGCGGCCGAUAAGGGCUCGCCUAGCCUGAGGGGGACAGCCACGGUAGUGGUCAAGGUGCUGGACCGUAACGACAACGAACCCAAGUUCAUGUUGAGCGGCUACAGCUUCUCCGUUUUGGAGAACAUGCCUCCGCUCAGCCCUGUUGGCAUGGUGACGGUCAUCGAUGCAGAUAAGGGCGAGAACGCCAGGGUUCGGCUCUCGGUGGAGCCCGACAAUGGCAAGUUUGUCAUCCAGAAUGGCACAGGCACUAUCCUUUCCAGCAUCUCCUUUGACCGUGAGAAGGAGAGCACAUACACUUUCCGCCUCAAGGCUGUGGACGCCGGUGACCCUCCCAGGUCCUCCUACGUGGGUGUGACCAUCAACGUCUUGGACGAGAACGAUAACUCCCCCUACGUCACCAAGCCCUCUAACUCCUCCUACAAGUACCUCCCACCUCUCACGACCCCCGAGACACGCGUGGAAGUGGUGGAGGCUGAAGACAUCGACACAGGACCCAACGCCGAGCUGGUCUUCAGCAUUACCGGCGGGAACCCCUACGGACUGUUUCACAUCUCGCCCACCAAUGGGGAGAUAACCCUGGCCCAGGAGUUCACCCGCAAGCACAACGGGCUCCACCGUCUGGUGGUGAAGGUGAGCGACAAAGGCAAGCCACCACGCCACACCACCGCCCUGGUCCACAUCUUCGUCAACGAGACCAUGGGCAACAUCACCCUGAUUGAGUCUCUGGUGGGUCACAGCCUCUACACUCCUCUGGACAGAGACAUUGCCGGGGACCCCAACUACGCGCUGGCCCAGCGCAGCAAUAUCCUGUACGGCAGCCUAGCGGGCAUCGCCGGAGUCAUCCUGGUCAUCGUGGUGGUGGUGGUGAUCCGCCAUCGCAUGCAGAAGGACACCAAGAGCGGCUACCAGGCGGGCAAGAAGGAGAGUAAGGACCUGUACGCCCCCAAAGCAGGGCCCAAGAAUGGCAAGGGCAAAAAGAGCAAGAAGGGCAAGGUGCCCAAGCCCACCAAGCCACUGGAGGAGGAUGAAGAGGCCAGCCUCCAGAAGGGCCUCAACUUCAACCUCAUAAACGAUAGUGUCAAUGACAGUCCCCGGAUCCACCUGCCCCUCAACUACCCCCCGGGCAGCCCCGACCUGGGCAGACACUACCGCUCCAACUCCCCACUGCCCUCCAUCCAGCUGCAGCCCCAGUCCCCCUCUGCCUCCAAGAAGCACCAAGCCGUUCAGGACCUGCCUGCCACCAACACCUUUGUGGGCACAGGUGACAACAACUCUACAGGCUCCGAUCAAUAUUCGGAUUACAGCUACAAGGCAAACCCGCCGAAAUACAGCAACAAACAGGAGGCACAUCUUUGGUUGAGCACCUACACUGCCCCACACAGAGUCAUUCCGUAUAUUUUAAUGUGUUUAGAGAAAUCAUUUGGUUUUAAAGUCCCUUUUUAUGGCAGGAUUCUAUUUCCUUUCACACUGAGUUUGUUCAUUUGAGUGUGACAAAGUGCUGGUGAAUUCCUUAGACACUUUUAUUGUCUGUUGGCUACCACUGGAGAGUACAAGCUUGGCCUAACUGCACUUUUUUUAUGUUUUCACUUCAAAAUAAUUAAAAUCAUUCACCAAAGGGUAGAUAGCCAAGGGGAAAGAAGGGAGUGGGGGAAGGUAAGCAAAGAAGACAUAUAGAAAUUGAAAAGCACACUUAACGACAAGGGAAGGUCCUUUCAGACACCUUGUGUUAUUUUGAAGCCUGCCACUGCACAUCCUGUCAGGCCAUUGAAAAAGGACUCUUCAUUUACUGGGGCUUAAGUCAAUUGUUUGCACAGAUUAAUGGCAGGUAAUUCCAGCCCCGCUCGCCUGUACACAGAGAGUGCCUUGCUUUAUUUAACGUACAUAUGUGGGGUGGUUAAAUUCAUGCUCAUAAGUAGUGUGGUAUGGCACCUUUAUGAGUAAUGGACUUAAGGCCCCGGCAAGCUGUGAAUAAUGUCACAUCCACUGUGAAACGAGAGGCUCUGAAAAGAAAGAACAGGAGACCGAGGUUGAUUGCAUUUUGCAGUAGUAUCUGUUGGAGAGUAUACCAAAAAAACAAGAUUGCUUUGUUCGUAUGGCCUCUUUAAAAUGAUUUGGAGACAAUCGUAUGAUGUAGUAAUAUGCAAGUUGUACAUAUGUGAAUAACAAACUAUGUUUGCUGAUGUUGUAUUUUUAGUUUUACUCAUCAUGUGUUUGUUCUGAUUGCAACAUGUCCUGUGUGUGAUUUGUACUCAAAUGGAGAACAUUCAUUUUUUGUGAGUAACUGAGCCACUCAGUUGUCCUUGUUAGUGAUGCCUGCAUUCACCAACCCAAUUCUCUAACAAUCAAAUUACACACACAAACACACACACACACACAUUUGAAUACAGGAGGUAGUACUGUUAUUGUCAUGCUUCAAGUGAGCGUCAUAAUGUUUGCUACACUAGAGUACCCAGGAGGCAUUGCAGUUCAGUGUUCCAUGUUGCUUGAGUUCAGCUGUAUUUAAAGCUGCAGUUAUCCCCAUUUUGACGAGACAUUUUCAUUUUGCUUCUGUUUUUGUUUUAUCCAUUUCUUUGUUUGUAAAAAUAUUGUACCCUGGGAGAAAAUUUGUUCCGUUUUUUUUUUACGACUAAAUCCAAUUUUAUUUCAAUAAAAACGUUGUUAAAAUGGUGAAAUCA